rnacentral:rRNA from 1 species
AUUUAAGUCGGAUGUGAAGCCCUGGGCUUAACCUGGGAAUUGCACCCGAUACUGGGUAUCUUGAGUAUGGUAGAGGGAAGUGGAAUUUCCGGUGUAGCGGUGAAAUGCGUAGAUAUCGGAAAGAACACCAGUGGCGAAGGCGACUUCCUGGACCAAUACUGACACUGAAGCGCGAAAGCGUGGGGAGCAAACAGGAUUAGAGACCCUGGUAGUCCACGCCCUCAACGAUGAGAACUAGCUGUUGGGAAGUCCACUUCUUAGUAGCGAAGCUAACGCGUUAAGUUCUCCGCCUGGGGAGUACGGCCGCAAGGUUAAAACUCAAAGAAAUUGACGGGGGCCCGCACAAGCGGUGGAGCAUGUGGUUUAAUUCGAUGCAACGCGAAAAACCUUACCUACCCUUGACAUCCUCGGAACUUGUCAGAGAUGACUUGGUGCCUUCGGGAACCGAGUGACAGGUGCUGCAUGGCUGUCGUCAGCUCGUGUCGUGAGAUGUUGGGUUAAGUCCCGUAACGAGCGCAACCCCUAAAUUGAUAG